rnacentral:tRNA from 1 species
GGGGCUGUAGCUCAGCUGGGAGAGCACCUGCUUUGCAAGCAGGGGGUCAGCGGUUCGAUCCCGCUCAGCUCCACCAUUGUUUUGUCCUGACNCUNUCGCGCCUUUGGCGCUGCGCUCCGGACGGGCCGCCGAACGAUCGGCGAUAGGCCUCUGGCCUAUGUGGUUGGACGUAACGAAGUUUGUCUUCUGAAGAAAUAAAGGUUUUGCAUCGGCUUUUGAGCUUGAUGCGUGUUCUGCAUACAUUGUGAAGAGAAGAUUGAUCUGGAGGCUUCCAGGUGUUUUGGGUUUUGCCCGAAGCGUCCGAGCCCGGUCUUUAUGAAACCAUGGAUGGCCUAGCCGGCCGGAUGUGGUGGAGAGAUCGGAGGUAGGAAGGAAGCUUGUCGCUCUGGGUCGUCAUUGUUGGUGUCUUUAUGGAUACCUCUGAUGAACGGCUGGAUUACCGUUGCCUGACCGCGCGGUACCGGAUUUAAUCUCGAGAAGCUGGUCUUAGGUAUGGCCAGGCGCACGCUCGGCGUGUGCGCUUAAAGAAUGGACCAUACCGAACACGUCGAUGGCAUUAUUGAUAGGCUGGGUUGUAAAAGGUAACCCGGUCUGUUGCUCGUUUCCUGACGGANACGAACGACGAGAUGAUGAGCAUUGGCAAUGAGAACGAUCAAGUGUCGUA